UGGAGAUUAGUUCAGUGGUUAGAACGUGCGGCUGUUAACCGCAAAGUCGACAGUUCAAAUCUGUCAUCUCCAG
rnacentral:tRNA from 1 species